rnacentral:lncRNA from 1 species
GGAGAACUUUAUGAGAAUAAUUACAUUACAGACAAACAAAUGUUUUACCUAUAUGGACCAGAUACCCCACGCCCUAGACAAUUUUAUUUGUUGCUUAAAAUCCACAAACCUCCUGAGACUUGGACAAUCCCUUCUGAGGUUCCAUGUGGUAGGCCGAUUGUAUUGGACUGUGGCUCGCAAUCGUAUAGAAUAGCUGAGUACUUAGAUUAUUUUAUAAAUCCUCUGUCACGGAAACAUCCAAGUUUCAUUAAAGACACAUAUUGAUAUUGACUCUUUGUAUACCAACAUUGACACCAACUUGUGUCUUAGAGAAAUGUAAGACAUUUUCCAUAGAUAUCCGGACAUAGAUAGACCUAAUUAGGCAUUAUUACAAUUACUAGAACUCAGCCUAACAAGAAAUGACUUUGAAUACAAGUCUAAUCGUUUUCUUCAAAUCCAUGGUACAGCUAUGGGGAAGAAGUUUACCCCGUCAUAUGCCAAUAUUUAUAUGGCUGAAUGGGAACAAUCAGCCUUCCCCAAAUGUACAAAGCUUCCAAUUUUGAAUCUACGGUAUUUAGAUGACAUAUUUGGGUUAUGGAGACAUUCCCUCUCAGAAGUUAUGGAAUUUGUGCAGAUUAUGAAUACACCUCAUCCGUCAAUCACGAUUAAACAUAAUGUUCAGAAGGAAGAAAUAGAAUUUAUGGACACUGAGGUAUUUUUUGUAGAGGGUAGUGAUAACAUGAAGCAAUUAGCAACAAAGGUUUAUUUCAAACCUACGGACACUCAUUCCCUCUUACACAAAUCUCGUUUUCAUCCAAAACACACCUACAGAGGACUGAUAAAGUCUCAGUUUAUCAGAUUUCACAGGAAUUGUACACAGAGAAAACAUGUGAAGGAGGUUAUAGGAAUUAUUUUUAAGGCUCUUAGGCCCAGAGGUUAUUCUAAACGUUUCCUCCGCACUAUAAGAGCAGAGGUGAACACUAUGUUUGAACUGAACCUAUAUAUGGGUGGACUAGUAACGAUGGAAGUGUUAUCCCAUUUGUCACCGCAUAUUCACAGUCUUCUAUGAAGUUUAACUCCGUAGUGAAGGAUCAUUUCCAGCAGACAAGGGAGGAUGUGGAGGUUCUCCAACAAUUCAGAGUAAUAUCAGCAUAUCGGCGAAAUAAAAAUUUGACAGAUGUGCUGGUACACUCUGGUUUCAGGGAGAAGCCGGGGCGGAGUGGAUCACAUUUUAGACAAGUAAAAUACAUUCAGAAUAAAUGGUCGGGUCUAGGGGCUCCAGUAUGGGAGGUUUUUCAAUGAAGACCACCAACAUUGUAUAUGGCAUUGAAUGUCUACAAUGUAGAAAACUGUAUAUUGGAGAAACCAGGAACUCCUUGGAAGCCAGACUCAAACAACAUCUAUAUCAUAUAAGUAAAGAGUCGGUUAAAACCACACUAUACACCCACUUUAGAUCUCAUCCAGUAGUUCAGUUAAGAAUAGCAGGGUUGGAAUCUAACCAAGGGUGGUUGUUAACACACAGACAGAUUAAGGAGCAAUUUUGUAUUCAAAAAUUGUGUACUUGUGAUCCCACGGGCAUGAAUGAAAAGUAUUACAUUUACAUUUUAGUCAUUUAGCAGAUGCUCUUAUCCAGAGUGACUUACAGUAGUGAAUGCAUACAUUUCAUACAUUUUUCUCUCUGUACUGGUCCCCCGUGGGAAUUGAACCCACAACCCUGGUGUUGCAAACACCAUGCUCUACCAACUAAGCCACACGGGUAUUAGAGAACCCUAACCAUUCUAAUUCUAACCCUGACCUUAACACUAACCUUAACCAUCCUAACCUAGCCCUAAUAAUAACCCUAAUCCUAACCCUAACCUUAACCCUAAAUUUAACCCCUAUCCUAACCCUUACCUUAACCCUAAUCCUAACCCUUUGGAUUAAAAAAUUGGGUACUAGUGAUCCUACAGGCCUGAAUGAAUAGUAUUAGAGAACCUUAACCAUUCUAACUCUAACCCUGACCUUAACACUAACCUUAACCAUCCUAACCUUAACCCUAACCUUAACCAUUCUAACCUGACCCUAACCUUAUCCUUAACCCUAACCCUGACCCUAGCUCCAUAAAGAUGUAUCCUGAGGAGCUAGGUAAUUAGAGAGCAUGUGCCGGUGUACUGUCUGGGUGUUGCUUAUCCUAUUAGAGGAAAAUGUUAAUUUUACCUAUCUUGAUUCAGCCGUUAACGAUCUAACAAAGCCAUGCUGCCUUAUGCAUAUCCGUUCCAUAUCUCUUUAAAAAUAAAUGCCAGACACUCCGAAGAGUAUACAGGCCUUGAAUAAUGGCCAACGACAUGCCUUCGCUCCUGGCAGAGCUACCUGUAAGCCACUGGCCUGCUGAAUCAGUACCUUGACAGAAUGAGUCAGGAAGUUCAGCCACUGGCCUGCUGAAUCAGUACCUUGACAGAAUGAGUCGGGAAGUUCAGCCAUUGACCGGCUGGUGGCCCUCGAUGUCUCCGAUGGAGUGUUGGUGAAAUGGGCUUGGGAUCGCUCGGCGCGCCGGAACCUGGUUGGGGCCUCGGAACCUGGAAGGGAGACCAGGUGCAGUUUGACAGGGUUGAUAUAAAAACCAGCUUCGGACAGUCUGCGGACACCCGACCCACGAUCCUGGAAGGGAGGGGCCUCACUCGUUCUUGCCAUCUGAACCACUGAGUGCGAAGGACUGACACUUGGGGUGGAUGCAUGACAACCGUAGAGGAGGUUAUACUUCCUGGGUUUUUGUCUGCUCAAACUCUCAAGGCCGACUGACUGACAUGCUUGGGAUGGACACAUGGCAACCGACUGAGAAGCUGGGUUCCUGGAAGGGAGCAGCCCUCUAUGGUUUUUGCCUGACCCUAAACCAAGUAUGUAUCUACAAGGAUGAUGGAUAGAGCUCAAAGGGUGGAUGCAUGACAACUGUAGAGAAGGUUCACCUUCUGGAUUUUUGUCUGCUCAAACCACAAGAACUCAAUGACAGACCGUAUUGGUAUGGACACAUGGCAAGCAACUGAGACCCCGGACUCACACAGGGUACACAACUCAACCGCGUUGCCUGAUCCUACACCAAGCAUCCUGGAAGGGAAUUACUCUUCAAUGUAUUGAUAAAGAAAAACAUCCAGGACCAAAUGACUGAGUGACACUUGGCCAACCAGCAGUGAAGGACAGUUCCGUGUGUGAUUUCCUCUCUGGUGGCCCUUUUUCACAACCGUUGACACCUUGACCAAUAGAAGGACUCCCCUAAACCUAACCCUAACCUUAUCCCCACCCUUAACCUAACCCUAACCCCACCCUUAUCCUAACCCUAACUCCACCCCUAUCCUAACCCCACCAUAAUACUAACCCUAACCCCACCCUUAACCUAACCCUAACCCUACUCUUAUCCUAACCCUAACCUCCACCCUAACCCUAUCCCCUACCUGGACAAAAAAAAAGGAUGUAGACAACUGAAACCAAUGCACCCCGAAACCAACUCUACUGUAGUGGACAACUACAGGGUUCUACAACCUGAGCGGAUCUGUGCCCGGACCCCUCGACACCCCCAUUCAGCAAGCGGAGUGCAACCCUCCCCCCCAGUCUCUGCAUUAGCUUGAAGGCAUCAGAUCGACCUUGUGGAUUUCUUAAAAUAUCUUAACCCUAACCCUUAACCGUAACGUAACCCUAAAGCAAACCUGCUGACCUAAAACACAAUCCUAUUCAAAACCUAACCCUAACCACUAACUCUAACCCCUAACCCAGUUCACGUAGGGUCCAGUUCAGAUGGGGUCCAGUUUAGAUGGGGUCCAGUUCAGAUGGGGUCCAGUUCAGAUGGGGUCCAGUUCAGAUUGGGUCCAGUUCAGUUACUGUCCAGUUCAGAUGGGGUCCAGUUCAGAUGGGGUCCAGUUCGGUUACUGUCCAGUUCAGUUACUGUCCAGUCCAGAUGGGGUCCAGUUCAGAUGGGGUCCAGUCCAGAUGGGGUCCAGUUCAGAUUGGGUCCAGUUCAGAUGGGGUCCAGUUCAGAUGGGGUCCAGUUCGGAUGGAGUCCAAAUCAGAUAGGGUCCAGUUCAGAUGAGGUACAGUUCAAAUAGGGUCCAGUUCAGAUUGGGUCCAGUUCGGUUACUGUCCAGUUCAGAUGGGGUCCAGUUCAGUUUGGGUCCAGUUUGGUUACUGUCCAGUUCAAAUAGGGUCCAGUUCAGAUUGGGUCCAGUUCGGUUACUGUCCAGUUCAGAUAGGGUCCAGUUCAGAUGGGGUCCAGUUUAGAUGGGGUCCAGUUCAGAUGGGGUCCAGUUCAGAUUGGGUCCAGUUCGGUUACUGUCCAGUUCAGAUGGAGUCCAGUUCAGAUGGGGUCCAGUUCAGAUUGGGUCCAGUUCGGUUACUGUCCAGUUCAGUUACUGUCCAGUCCAGAUGGGGUCCAGUCCAGAUGGGGUCCAGUUCAGAUGGGGUCCAGUUCGGAUGGAGUCCAAAUCAGAUAGGGUCCAAUUCAGAUGAGGUACAGUUCAAAUAGUGUCCAGUUCAGAUUGGGUCCAGUUCGGUUACUGUCCAGUUCAGAUGGGGUCCAGUUCAGUUUGGGUCCAGUUUGGUUACUGUCCAGUUCAAAUAGGGUCCAGUUCAGAUGGGGUCCAGUCCAGAUGGGGUCCAGUCCAGAUGGGGUCCAGUUCAGAUGGGGUCCAGUUUAGUUACUGUCCAGUUCAGAUGGGGUCCAGUUCGGUUACUGUGCAGUCCAGAUAGGGUCCAGUUCAGGUGGGGUCCUGUUCAGUUACUGUCCAGUUCAGAUAUGGUCCAGUUCAGAUAGGGUCCAGUUCAGAUUGGGUCCAGUUCGGUUACUGUCCAGUUCAGAUGGAGUCCAGUUCAGAUGGGGUCCAGUUCAGAUGGGGUCCAGUUCAGAUGGAGUCCAAAUCAGAUGAGGUCCAGUUCAGAUGGGGUUCAGUUCAGAUGGGGUCCAGUUCAGAUGGGGUCCAGUUCAGAUUGGGUCCAGUUUGGUUACUGUCCAGUUCAGAUAGGGUCCAGUUCAGAUGGAGUCCAGUUCAGAUGGGGUCCAGUUCAGAUGGAGUCCAGUUCAGAUUGGGUCCAGUUUGGUUACUGUCCAGUUCAGAUGGAGUCCAGUUCAGAUGGGGUCCAGUUCAGAUGGGGUCCAGUUCAGAUGGGGUCCAGUUCAGAUAGGGUCCAGUUCAGAUGGGGUCCAGUUCAGAUGGGGUCCAGUUCAGAUGGGGUCCAGUUCAGAUGGGGUCCAGUUUGGUUACUGUCCAGUUCAGAUGGGGUCCAGUUCAGAUGGAGUCCAGUUCAG